CAUUAGCUAGUUGGAGGGAUAACAGCCCCCCAAGGCUACGAUGGUUAGCCGGCCUGAGAGGGUGAUCGGCCACACUGGAACUGAGACACGGACCAGACUCCUACGGGAGGCAGCAGUGAGGAAUAUUGCACAAUGGGGGAAACCCUGAUGCAGCAACGCCGCGUGGAGGAUGACGCAUUUCGGUGUGUAAACUCCUUUUAUGAGUCAAGAAAAUGACGGCAGCUCAUGAAUAAGCACCGGCUAACUCCGUGCCAGCAGCCGCGGUAAUACGGAGGGUGCAAGCGUUACUCGGAAUCACUGGGCGUAAAGGACGCGUAGGCGGGAUGUCAAGUCAGAUGUGAAAUCCAAUGGCUCAACCAUUGAACUGCAUUUGAAACUGGCAACCUAGAGUAUGGGAGGGGGAGAUGGAAUUAGUGGUGUAGGGGUAAAAUCCGUAGAUAUCACUAGGAAUACCGAAAGCGAAGGCGAUCUCCUGGAACAUAACUGACGCUAAGGCGUGAAAGCGUGGGGAGCAAACAGGAUUAGAUACCCUGGUAGUCCACGCCCUAAACGAUGAACACUAGUCGUCGGGAUGCUUGUCAUCUCGGUGAUGCACUUAACAGAUUAAGUGUUCCGCCUGGGGAGUACGGUCGCAGGAUUAAAACUCAAAGGAAUAGACGGGGACCCGCACAAGUGGUGGAGCAUGUGGUUUAAUUCGAAAAUACGCGAAGAACCUUACCUAGCCUUGACAUUGAUAGAACGGACCAGAGAUGGACCGGUGCCCUUCGGGGAGCUUGAAAACAGGUGCUGCACGGCUGUCGUCAGCUCGUGUCGUGAGAUGUUGGGUUAAGUCCCGCAACGAGCGCAACCCUCGUCUUUAGUUGCCAGCAGGUUAAGCUGGGCACUCUAAAGAGACUGCCUACGCAAGUAGGAGGAAGGUGAGGACGACGUCAAGUCAUCAUGGCCCUUAUGGCUAGGGCUACACACGUGCUACAAUGGGGCGUACAGAGAGUUGCGAUACCGCGAGGUGGAGCCAAUCUCACAAAGCGUCUCUCAGUUCGGAUUGUUCUCUGCAACUCGAGAGCAUGAAGCUGGAAUCACUAGUAAUCGUAGAUCAGCAAUGCUACGGUGAAUACGUUCCCGGGUCUUGUACUCACCGCCCGUCACACCAUGGGAGUUGAUUUCACCCGAAAUUGGGAAGCUAAC
rnacentral:rRNA from 1 species